ACGCACGCUGGCGGCGUGCUUAACACAUGCCAGUCGUACGGUAAGGCCCUUUCGGGGGUACACGAGUGGCGAACGGGUGAGUAACACGUGAGUAACCUGCCCACAACUUUGGGAUAACGCUAGGAAACUGGUGCUAAUACUGGAUAUGUGCUCCUGCUGCAUGGUGGGGGGUGGAAAGCUCCGGCGGUUGUGGAUGGACUCGCGGCCUAUCAGCUUGUUGGUGGGGUAGUGGCCUACCAAGGCGGCGACGGGUAGCCGGCCUGAGAGGGUGACCGGCCACAUUGGGACUGAGAUACGGCCCAGACUCCUACGGGAGGCAGCAGUGGGGAAUAUUGCACAAUGGGCGCAAGCCUGAUGCAGCAACGCCGCGUGCGGGAUGACGGCCUUCGGGUUGUAAACCGCUUUCAGCAGGGACGAAGCUUUUUGUGACGGUACCUGCAGAAGAAGCACCGGCUAACUACGUG
rnacentral:rRNA from 1 species